rnacentral:misc_RNA from 1 species
GCAGAAGGAUCAUUAGUGAAGAUUUGGGCAGGCCAUACGGACGCUAAAAAGUGUCCCUGGCCGCCCACACCCACUAUACAUCCACAAACCCGUGUGCACUGUCUUGGAGAAAGGCUUCAGAGAAGUUUUUUGUGGCCUCUCUUGGGGUCUUUCUUCGCUACAAACUCGAAUGGUUAGUAUGAACGUGGAACUUGGUUGGACCGUCACUGGCCAACAAACUAUGCACAACUUUCGACAACGGAUCUCUUGGUUCUCCCA